CCAGAACCCGCAUAACAGGCCCGAUGAGGAUGCCAGGCUGCACUGACCCCCGAGCUUCAGAGGAGAGGGGCACCAGCUGGGAGCCCUGCACAGCAGCCUCAGAGGGAGAAGAGCUCACAACCUGGGAGAACUCCAGGCCUGGCCCAGUGAAGACGUCCUUAUCUUCAGCAGACGUUGCCCAGUGCAAAGGGAGGGAUUUUCAGGGCGGCAAGCUCAGGUGUUUUACUGUUUCCCAUGUCAAGUCCAGCUCCAGACUGACUUUCUGAGGUCACGGACGGAGCCUCACCCCAUCCAAGGUGAUGUCCUGGACUCCCAGUGUGUUCCCCAGAGGGCAGGGUACCUGGGGCCCAGCCUGGGCGGCAGGAGGGACUCAGCCCCUCGCCCAGGCAGGAAGGCUCCCAAGCAGAGGCCCCUCCCUCGUGCACUCCCCAGCCCCCACCUGCGGCACUGGGACUGGGACUAAUAAAACACCCACCUCGCAGAA